rnacentral:rRNA from 1 species
UACGUAGGGGGCUAGCGUUGUCCGGAUUUAUUGGGCGUAAAGAGCGUGUAGGCGGCCAGGUAGGUCUGCUGUGAAAACUCGAGGCUUAACCUCGAGAUGUCGGCGGAAACCAUCUGGCUAGAGUCCGGAAGAGGGGAGUGGAAUUCCUGGUGUAGCGGUGAAAUGCGCAGAUAUCAGGAAGAACACCCGUGGCGAAGGCGGCUCUCUGGGACGGUACUGACGCUGAGACGCGAAAGCGUGGGGAGCGAACAGG